AGCUGUUUCAGGCCUUAAGGAAGCGGCUCUCAACCUGUGAGUGGUAACCCCUUUAGGGGAUGAAGGACCCUCUCACAGGGGUCACAUAUCAGACAUCCUGCAUAUCAAAUAUUUACAUUAUGAUUCAUAGCACUAGCAAAAUUACAGCUAUGAGGUAACAGCAAAAUUAAUCUUGUGGUUGGGGGUCAGCCCAACAUGAGGAACAGCUUUGGAGGGUCGCGGCAUGAGGCAGACUGAGAACAGCUGCCUUGGAGGAAGAUAGAGGAAGACUGGCUUUUACCUGUCCACUCCAAAUCCAGUUUUACCCUAAUACUGAACAAUUUCAGUCCUCUGGGACAUGCACUGGAAAGUGGAGAUGCAGGGUACCUGAUGUGGUGAAGGGUCUGAGGGGUUGUCAGGAUGCUUGCCACCAUGACAACGGCAUAAAAAAUGCUCGUAGAUGACAGCCUCAGUUUCUUCUCAUGUCUCCACGUGUGAGGGCCUCUUAUUAUUGCCAUCUUACAAGUUGCAAACUGGAACUGUGCCUUUGAUUUGCAUUUCCCUAAUGACUAACGGUGCUGGAUGCCUUUGGGCAUCUUAUUUGAAGACACAUCUAUUAAAAUCUUUUGACUGUUUUGAAACUGGGUCAUUUGCUUUGUGUUAUUGUAUUUUAAGUAUAAGUCUUUGGCUGAUAAGAGAGUUUAGCAAGCUUUUCCUCAUCUAUUCAUUGGGUUUUUCCAUCGUUCAUCAGUGGAUCCCAACCUUCCUAACACUGUGACCCUUUGAUACCAUUCCCCAUGUGGGAACAAAACUUAACCAUAAAAUUAUUUUUGUUGCUACUUCAUAACUGUAAUUUUGCUAAUGUUAUGAAUUGCAACGCCAAUAUCUGUUUUCCCAUGGCCUUAGGUGAUCCCUGUGACAGUGUCUUUCAACCACCUAAGGGGUCACAACCCACAGGUUGACAACCGAUGGUUUAGAUAGUGUCUCCCAAAGUACAAGGUUUGAAGUGUUGAUGAGGUUCAAUCAACUUGUACUGUUGGCUAUUCCUUUUUCCUAUAAGGAUUGAUGCUGAGGAGAUAUUUUCUAAGGUCAGCAGGGCUUAAAUGCUACUAUAUUACAGUGAGCAGAUAUGCCUAUCAUAGUGAUGGUGUAUAAGGAUGGGUGCAAAUUCAUCUCUAAAAGUUUGAUGGGCUCUCCUAAUGAAGCCAUCUGGUCCUGAGUUUGUGUUUGUGAUGAUUUUUUUGUCUGUUAAUUUAAUCCCCUUGUUUCAAUAGCUUGCUAGAGUCAAGUUGGUAAUGGGCCAUUAAGAAUUUCUGCUUCUCUAUUGACAGGUAUGACUAGGUUGUAAUUUUCUGAUAUUGCGACAUUUUUAGUUUUGUGACUAGAGAGGUGGCCUUUUAGGAUAAGCUGGAAAGCGUCCCCCACCCUUUCUGUUGUUUAUUGUAUUUUUCAAGGAACUUGCAAAUGAUCGGUAUAAGUUCAUCGUUAGAAAUUUGAUAAAAUCCACUAAUGAAGCCAUCUGGUCCUGAGCUUGUGUUUGUGCUGAGUUUUUGUCUUGCUAAUGUAAUCUCUCAUGGCUUGUGAUAGUUUACAGCACACAUUGUAUUGGCAAAGCCUCAUGUGUUGUUUGAACUCACUGAAUUGCUGGCCAUGGAAGCAGGUGGGCUGCAUCUCCAAAUGACUCAAACAUGUUUAUGCUAAUUUCCCUUCAAGACCCCCUUGUCUGGUCUCCUUUCACUCUGUAACAGGAAAGGCAAAACCCCAAGACAGCCUAAGAGUAGACACGUUGUACCCUUGAGAAGAACUGAAAGGGGAACGUUUCCUGUUGGUUAUAUUUGUUUACCCCAUGACAUGACCAUGCCUGCAGUGGGAAGGAGACUCCAGAAGUUCAGCCGUGGGAAGCCCAUCCAUGGGGAGACCACUCAGUCACGAGUUCCAACGCAUCGUAUCAACUUCCUGGUUGUUUUCGCUCUCUGCCUUGUUCAUUCCUUGGAAGCCUUACCCAAGUGGACAUCUGCUCUACCUGGAACUUGAUGGAAAUUCUACUAGAUGUUUCUAGACUCCCUCACUUAAUGACGUUACCCUUGUAUUACUAUUUGCCGGAAAACAUAAAAAGUAGAGGAGCUAGGGAGAGAAUAAUCAGUUAAGAGUGCUUGCUGCUCUUGUAGUUCCCAGCGCCUACUUUUGGUGGCUUACAACGAAGCGAUCUGUAACUCCAGCUCCAGGAGAUCCCAUGCCCUCUGCUGGCCUCCAUGGGUCACUGCACAUACAUUGCACACUCAGAUAUGAAUACAGAUAUAAUUUUAAAAAAUU
rnacentral:lncRNA from 1 species